rnacentral:rRNA from 1 species
GCAUGCAAGUCGAGGGAGAACCCGCAAGGGGGACACCGGCGAACGGGGUAGGAUCACGUAGGUGACGUACCCCCAGGGCGAGGAUAGCCACGGGAAACUGUGGGUAAUACUCGAUAACCUUCCCGAUCAUGAUCGAAUGGGAAGCAAUGGGUGUGAUUCCACCUGGGGAGCGGCUUACGCAGUAUCAGCUAGUUGGUGAGGUAACGGCUCACCAAGGCUUUGACGCUUAGGGGGUGUGAGAGCAUGGCCCCCACCACUGGCACUGAGACACUGGCCAGACACCUACGGGUGGCUGCAGUCGAGAAUCUUCGGCAAUGGACGAAAGUCUGACCGAGCGACGCCGCGUGCGGGAUGAAGGUCUUCGGAUUGUAAACCGCUGUCAGAGGGGAUGAAGUAUACGAGAGCAAUCUCUGGUAUUUGACAGAGCCUCAGAGGAAGCACGGGCUAAGUUCGUGCCAGCAGCCGCGGUAAUACGAACUGUGCGAACGUUAUUCGGAAUCACUGGGCUUAAAGGGUGCGUAGGCGGUUUUCUAAGUCGCGUGUGAAAUCUUCUGGCUCAACCAGAAA